AGUAAUGCUGAGGCUCUUGAUGUAUGGACCACAAAUGUAACUCAGGUCUUAAUUAUUGCUUCCCAUAUUCCCCCAUAAUAAAAUUUAUCCAAGGUAUUUAGAAUCAAGAUCAUCCUCUUGGACUGCCUCAUCCUGCUGAAUCAAAAUCUCUAAGAGAAUCUAGGCACAAUGACACAGACAUGUAUUCCCAGUACUCAAGAGGCAGAAGCUGGAUCUGAGAAGGAGGAUCAAAGAUCUGCGACGAGUCUAUGUUACAUAACAUACUUCAACAAAAACAAGAGCCCCAGAUCAUCCAAGUGUCUAUUAUAGAUGUCCUGCUUAUCUUAAAAGAAGCUGAGCUUGCUCCAGCUCCAAGCAUCAAACCCAAGGAGUCCAGUUGGCUGCUAUUCUAGCAACUUCAGUGCAUAGCAUCUCCCAGUAUUUAUACAGAGAUGAAAUCUUGGAUUAAAAUAAUCUAGAGACAG